AUUUUCUUAAUAUAUAAAGUAUAUUUGACUUCCAAUCAAAAAGUCUAGGUUACCUAGAGAAAAUA
rnacentral:tRNA from 1 species